rnacentral:rRNA from 1 species
UAAGACGAACCGUGCGAACGUUGUUCGGAAUCACUGGGCUUAAAGGGCGCGUAGGCGGGCUCGCAAGUCCGGGGUGAAAGCCCACGGCUCAACCGUGGAAGCGCCUUGGAUACUGCGGGCCUCGAGGGGGGUAGGGGCGUGCGGAACUUCCGGUGGAGCGGUGAAAUGCGUAGAUAUCGGAAGGAACACCGGUGGCGAAAGCGGCGCGCUGGACCCCUUCUGACGCUGAGGCGCGAAAGCCAGGGGAGCAAACGGGAUUAGAUACCCCGGUAGUCCUGGCCCUAAACGUUGGGUACUAGGUUGUGGACUUACAUGGGUUCACAGCCGAAGCAAAAGUGUUAAGUACCCCGCCUGGGGAGUAUGGUCGCAAGGCUG